CAGUUUUUGACCCGACUACUGGACAUAACAUUUGUGACAGAUACCAGUUUCCACUGAAGCUCAGCUAUGGCAUGACAAUUCAAAAAUCCCAGGGCAUGUCACUAGACAGGGUUGAAGUAAACUGCCGGCAUAUAUUCCAGUCUGGUCAGUUGGGUGGGGCAAUUGGUCGUGCCAGGUCUAUAGAAGGUUAGAGAAUCGUGAACUUCUCCCAGGAUGCUGUGAUACCACAAACACAAGUUGUCACUGAUUUUGUAGCCCAAGAAGGCAGUCCAUUUAUUGAUGACUGUUCAUGCUGUCGGAAUUUGGUAGAUUGUUUAUAUCCUGAGAUGCAACAGAGCAAUCCUAGCCCAGUGCAACAUGCAACAGGCAUUUUAGACACGGAAGAUGACAUGGACGAUCCAGUGUUUGACGAGCUCUUGGCAAAUAUUGGUUCUUCCUUGGCAGAACACACAGCUGUUGUUCUUCCAGACACCUUUGACUUAGAGGAACAAAUAAAUGAACUUAGUUACACAUGUCCUGUUACUGAACAACAGUCUAUGGUGAAUGAAAUAUUUGCAAGUUUUAUGGAUAAUGAACAAAUUGUUAGAUGCUUCUUAAACCAACAGUAUUACCGUUGCAUGAAGUUUUAUGCCCAAACUGUGAUUUCCGAACCAGGUAAAGAGAGUCCAGUUCCACAGUGUCAGUUAACUGCUUUUUAUAAACUGUGGCAAAGUCAUAUGACAUCAGCAGAGUAUGAAAGUGAGUGUCUUCCAUUAAUUCUGCUCUCCUCCAAAGGAACAAAACCUGCAUUGUAUUCUGCAAUUUUUAAACUCUGCACUACUGUUCGUCAGUUGCUUCUAUCAGAUGAAGCUGCACAGUUAUCAUAUAUAGAUAACCAGAAAAUGACAUCACGAGCUACAGAUGGAUUUGAUGCAACAGCCAGAGGUAAAAUCAGAUAUGUAGGUGGUUAUGCUAUUGCCAAGCUCAAAUACAACUAUAUGUGCCAAGUUAAAUCGAAUAUGUACAAACCAGUGCAUUGGGCGUU